rnacentral:lncRNA from 10 species
UCUGGAGCACUGUACCCAAACACACUCCCUGCUGUGAAGCAGCGUCACCCAGCACUGAUAACCAGCUUGUUUGCAUCCAAUGAGACAGAACACCCCUGCACAACGACCUACAGGAAGAGUGUUUAUUCCUGGCAGAUAGGCAGCAAGGGACAACAGAUGUCUAGGAUUCAUCGGAAGCUGGUCCCACACAAGGCUCAGGGAAGCCUUGCCUAACUCCAACCUCCUGACCCCAACUAGUCAGAAGCCCUGAAUUUACGCCCCCAUGGCACCCUUCCUUCUCCUCAUGGAGCUCAUCAGAAAUGUGAUUGAUCAUCUGUGUGGUCCUUGCCUCAAUGUCUGUUCUCCCCGACGGAGUGAGAUGACUACAAGGUACAGAUAUUCCUGACUCCCAUCUCCCUGUUCUAGCUGAUCCUGGUACAGUGACUCACACAGGAUAGAUUCUUAAAAAAAUGUUUGCUAAGUCGAUAAAAUCCUCCAAGGUCUUUCUUCUUUUUUAACUUUCAUUUUAGGUUUGGAGGUACAUGUGAAGGUUUGUUAUAUAGGUAAACUCAUGUCACAGGGCUUGUUGUACAGAUUAUUUCAUCAUCCAAGUAUUAAGCCUGGUACCCAAUAGUUAUUUUUUUCUGCUCCUCUCCCUCCUCCCUCACUCCACCCUCAAGUAUACCCGAGUGUCUGUUGUUCCCUUCUUUCUGUUCAUGAGUUCUCAUCAUUUAGCUCCCACGUGUAAGUGAGAACAUGCUGUAUUCGGUUUUCUGUUCCUGUGUUAGUUUGCUAAGAAUAAUGACCUCCAACUUCAUCCAUGUUCCCACAAAAGACAUGAACUUGUUCUUUUUAUGG